GUUUGACGCUUGACAAGCUCGUUGGGAGCUUGUGGAUGAAGCGGGUCAAACGGAUCAAGAACGGAAGGAAAAGCAUGGCAUGGAUGCGAGGUACCUUUGGGACGCAGGAAGACGAUCAAGCUCAGCGAAGAACCGAACACGAUAUAGAUACACGCUUCCGCACAUUGCCACGUUGUAAAUUUUAAACAACGAACUCAAUUACGUUAUGU
rnacentral:lncRNA from 1 species